rnacentral:rRNA from 1 species
UUUUUACAAAAACAUGUCCUCUUGAUGAUAUUUUGAGGUCUGGCCUGCUCACUGACAAGGUUUUGAAGAGCCGCGGUAUUUUGACCGUGCAAAGGUAGCAUAAUCAUUAGUCUCUUAAUUAGGGGCUGGAAUGAAUGGCUUGACGAGAAAUCAACUGUCUCUUAAUAAUUUUUAAAAUUUAACUUUUGAGUCAAAAGGCUUAAAUUUUUCUUUAGGACGAGAAGACCCUAUAGAGCUUAACAUUUUAUUUUUAUAUAGUUUUUAGUUAAUCUUUCUAUAUUUAAUGAUAAUGUUUUGUUGGGGUGACAUGAAGAAUAAUUAAACUCUUCAUUAUAGAAUCAUUGAUUUAUGUUUAUCAUGAUCCAUAAUUUAUGAUCAUAAGAUUAAGUUACCUUAGGGAUAACAGCGUAAUUGUUUUCGAGAGCUCAUAUCGACAAAGCAGAUUGCGACCUCGAUGUUGGAUUAAGAAAAAUUUUGGGUGUAGGAGCCC